AAAGUGCGAUAAGCGUCACGACUUGCAGAUUCCCGAGAGCUGACAAGUCUCUGAAUGCAAAUAGCGGCCGAUUUCAAGUCGGUCAUGUGCUGCAGAGUGUUGUUGCAAUGGCUAAUCAUCAAACGCAUCUCCGUUCGAUUGAGGCGUUCAUCGCCUCUCUGCGGCAGAUUGACGCGUUGGAUUUGUCAAUAGCAAAGAAGAUCAAAGCGUGGUCUUCCAUGCUAAUGAUGAAAUCUCCGCGCAAGAUCCAGUGCGGCCCAGACUCUACUGGACCAACGCAUUCAAGUUUCUUGCUGCGGCUCGUCUCUACCCCUCAACCUCUGCAGUGCAGGAGAACCCGCUGAACUUAA
rnacentral:misc_RNA from 1 species